UUGGAGGGCAAGUCUGGUGCCAGCAGCCGCGGUAAUUCCAGCUCCAAUAGCGUAUAUUAAAGUUGUUGCAGUUAAAAAGCUCGUAGUUGAAUUUCGGGAUUGACACAUCGGUCGUGCCUUAAGGGGUAUGAACUGGUGUAGUCAGUUUCUCACCUUCUGGAGAACCGCGAUGUCCUUAAUUGGGUGCCGCGAGGAACCAGGACCUUUACUUUGAAAAAAUUAGAGUGUUUAAAGCAGGCAUUUUGCUUGAAUACAUUAGCAUGGAAUAAUAAAAUAGGACGGAUGGUUCUAUUUUGUUGGUUUCUAGGAUCACCGUAAUGAUUAAUAGGGAUAGUUGGGGGCAUUAGUAUUCAAUUGUCAGAGGUGAAAUUCUUGGAUUUAUUGAAGACUAACUACUGCGAAAGCAUUUGCCAAGGAUGUUUUCAUUAAUCAAGAACGAAAGUUAGGGGAUCGAAGACGAUCAGAUACCGCUGUAGUCUUAACCAUAAACUAUGCCGACUAGGAAUCAGACGAUGUUAAUUUCUUAAUGACUCGUUUGGCACCUUACGGGAAACCAAAGUGUUUGGGUUC
rnacentral:rRNA from 1 species